GCCGCCGCCGGCCCUGUCAGAGCGGACGGGCGGCCCUCGCGCCGCUCCCGCCGCCGCGGCCCCGCGCGCUGCUGCCGCUGCUACUACUGCUGCCGCUGGCACUGCUGCCGCUGCUGGCACUGCUGGCGCUGCUCCCGGCCGCGCGUGCGGGCGGCUCCGUGCGGGGGGAUUUGAAACAGCCGCUCCGGGGGCAGCGCAGCGGCGGCGCCCAAUCAGCGGCCGGGAUUUUUCGCGCUGGUUCUGGCCGGAGGAGGGGGCGGGGCCGCCGCGCAGGAGCCGCCGCCGCCGUUGCCGUGUCCGCGUCCCUUCGGCUCCCGCCGCCGCCGCCGUCUCCUCACAGCUCCCCGGCGCCCAGCUCCCGCCGCCUCACGCCCGGCUCCCCGGGGGGAGAACGAUGCGCUAGGGCACAGCAGUGUAAGACUGGAAACAUCUGGCUGAAUGGACUUUAGCAUCAAAAGAAGCUCUCAACUGUUAACUCGAAAAAUUAACUACAUAAAAAUGAAGCAGGUACCAGAGAUCCUCGGAAAUACCAAUGGGAAAACUCAGAAUUGUGAAGUUAAUCGUGAGUGUUCUGUCUACUUGGGCAAAGCACAACUUUCUGCCACUCUACAAGAAGGUGUCAUGCAAAAAUAUAAUGGCCACGAUGCUCUUCCAUUCAUCCCAGCUGAUAAGUUGAAAGAUCUAACUUCUCGUGUGUUUAACGGCGAGUCUGGGGCCCAAGAUGCCAAGCUGCGUUUUGAACCCCAAGAAAUAAAAGGAGUUGGAACACCACCAAACACUACUCCUAUCAAGAAUGGCUCUCCAGAAAUUAAGCUGAAAAUCACUAAAACCUACAUGAACGGGAAGCCUCUUUUUGAAUCUUCCAUUUGUGGAGACAAUGGUGCAGAUGUGUCACAGUCAGAAGAAAAUGAACAAAAGCCAGCAAACAAGGAGAGGAGAAACAGAAAAAGGAGCAUAAAAUAUGACUCCUUACUUGAGCAGGGUCUUGUUGAAGCAGCGUUAGUGUCAAAGACUUCAAGCUCCCCUGAAAAGAAGGCUCCUGCUAAGAAAGAUUCAACUCAAAGUACCAUCAAAGAUGACAAAGUCCAUCUGUUGAAGUAUAAUAUAGGAGAUCUAGUGUGGUCAAAAGUGUCUGGUUUUCCGUGGUGGCCAUGUAUGGUUUCUGCUGAUCCUGUUCUCCAUGCUUACACUAAACUAAAAGGACAGAAAAAGAGCUUUCGUCAAUAUCAUGUUCAGUUUUUUGGAGAUGCCCCAGAGCGAGCCUGGAUAUUUGAGAAGAGCCUUGUGCCAUUCAAAGAAAAAGACCAGUUUGAACAAUUAUGCCAGGAAAGUGCAAAACAAGCCCUCACUAAAGCAGAGAAAAUAAAGAUGUUAAAGCCUGUUUCAGGGAAACUGCGGCCGCAGUGGGAGAUGGGUGUUAAGCAAGCAAGUGAAGCAGUAAGCAUGACAGUGGAAGAACGGAAGGCCAAGUACACCUUCAUCUACAUUAGGGACAGACCUCAUCUUAAUCCUCGAGUGGCAAAGGAAGUUGGCAUUGCUGUGGAGCCAUUAGAGGAGAUAGAUGAGUCAUCUUACUCAAACGAAGAAACGACUGAAAAUCUGAAAUCAAUAAAGGAGUCUGGCAUUCCUAACAAGAGGAGGAGAAGGACAUCAAAAUUGUCUGCCACUGAUGAUACACAAGAAAGCAGUCAGUCGGGGACUAAGAAUACUACUCCUCAAAAGUCAUCUGAUCAGGCAGAAUCCAAAAGAGGGAUAGGCUCCCCUCUCAAUAGAAAGAAAACUCCAGCAUCUACUCCACGAAGCAGAAAGGGCGAUGCAGUAUCUCAGUUUUUGGUCUUUUGUCAAAAGCACAGAGAUGAGGUGGUUGCUGAACAUCCAGAUGCGUCAAGUGAGGAGAUUGAAGAAUUGCUUGAAUCGCAGUGGAACAUGCUUAGUGAAAAACAGAAAGCUCGCUAUAACACAAAGUUUGCCAUAGUGACCUCUCCCAAAUCUGAAGAAGACUCUGGUUCAUCAUUGAAGAAUAUUGGAGAGGCCAAACGUAAAGUGUUUCAAGACUCACCUAAAAGGAGAUCAAGAUCCAGAAGUAACUUACAUGGAAAUAAAAGAAACCAAAAAAAGAGGACAAAGGAACCUACAGAAGAUUUUGAAGUUCAGGAAGCACCUAGGAAAAGACUCAGGAUGGAUAAACAGAAUAAUCGGAAGAGGGAGACAAGCAAUGACAAAACAGCAAAAACAAACUCUACUAAGGUCACAGAAACCUCCUCUUCACAAAAGAACCAGUCAGCAACGAAAAAUCUGUCUGAUGCAUGUAAACCUCUGAAGAAGCGAAAUCGGGCUUCAGCAGCAGAAUCUUCAACUCUUGCUUUUAGCAAGAGUUCAUCUCCUUCAGCUUCCUUAACUGAGAAUGAGGUAAAAAAAAAGUGGUGUUUGCACACAGCCAUUUAAUUACAGAAAUUUUCAGGUGUGAAUCUUUUUGUUUAAAAACAAAAAAGCAAAGGCGAAUUCUCUAACGUUGGUGCUCUAGACAAGUUACAGUUCUGGCCUCUGUGAAACCUGUUAAUGUGUGCAUUGCAAAUUCAUUUAUUGUAACAAGAACGUCUGAUUUGGGGACGUCGAGAUAUUAUUGUGGUUUUUAAUGUAUUUACCAACAAAGUUUUAGAAUUGUAACCUCCUAUUAGAGGCAAAGUAAAAUGCCGUUGUGUUCUGUAUUUUCUUCUACAGACUUUAUGUAAGUGUACUACAUUAGUUACAUUAUGUAACUCAAUAUUGUCAUGUUGCCAUAGCUUUUAUAUUGAAGCAAGUUUCCUAAUCCUCUGUUUGAUCUAGAACUGGACAGUUUUCUGAGCAGAGCCCCUUUAAGCUCAAAUUAGUUUUCAGGCUGUUUAAGUGCUAUUUCUCUGUGAUGCAAAUAGCUUCAUCACCAGUAGAGUUAAGCAGGCAGUGAAGGAUGUAUCUUUUUGAUACUUACUAAUCAUAGUCUUAGCUCUGCAUAUUUGGAACUGUAAUUCUUUUCAACUGACAUACAAUAAAUGAAAUGUAUGUACCAGAAGUGUAUUCAUACAAUCCAUUAAAACCAUUCCCCAAGUCAUCUACACUAUUAAAACAAAUCAGCCAAAGAAUGGCAGCAUGAGGGUGAAGUAUGCAUGCUGUUUCGCAGGUGGGUUCAGAAAUGUAGUUGGUAGGAUUUAGGAAAAUAUCCAUGGACAAACAGCUUCAAGCAGUUUGUAUUGCAGAAGUUGUAGAGAAAAUACUUGCCUGCUAAUGAGGGAGUAGGGCUUCCAGCUAUCGUAGAGACUCUUUCAUCUCCCCUAACAAAAGCAUGAGGCGCUUAUACGCUAUAAUGAAUGCAGUUAAAAUAUCUAGACUAUGUUCAGUAAAUGGUUUACCUUUGGGGGUGGGGGAAGAUUGCAUGUUAAUGGCUGUAUAUCUUACUGUAACUUGAAAAAUUCUAUCAAAAAAAAAAAAAUCCCCAAAUUCUCCCUCCUAUACCCUAAUAAAACAAACAACAAAAGUCCCACAGGAAAAAAUGUCCAGGGCAGCGGUCAAGUAAAGUAAUGCUUGUUCUCAUUUUGUUCUCUCAACCAAGAGACUCCCAAACUGGCUUACCAGUUUCUGCCAUUUUGAUUUUUGUACCAGCACUUGCUGUCUAAGCUGUUUGUGUUUGGGACCAUCUAUUCAGCCAGACCCAUUUAAGGAAAAUACAAUCUUUUUGAUUCUAAAUAUGCAUCUCUAAAUACUGUAAUCUCAGGAGAAAGAUUCUCCUAUUUCUAGAUAUUGUGUUAUAAAAAAAUGAAGUCUCCAGAAAUCUUUCCCUAUAAAAGGUUAAUUUUUGUAGGAUUUUGGGUUGUAUCUUAACAGUUCACAUGUAAAAAUGGAUAUGGUUGUAUAGGCUAAGAUGAUUCUAUGAUUCUAUGAAAAUCUUAAAACUUAGCUCUUAAUUUACUUAGCUACUGCUAAACAGCAAAAGAUGUGAGAAAAAAUUAACAUCUUACACUGCUCGUAAGACAGAUAUACAAAUCAGAAAGGGAAUUAAUUGUUCUCAAAGGUUUAAAAUGUUUCAGAACAAUCACAGUCAACAUAACAGAAAUGUACCCUGUCAAACAGUAGAGAUUUGGGGGGUGGAUUUGGGGGAUACUGGGUAGGAUGGGGAAUAGAUGGGUUGGAUCCUUAGAUGGUUUAAAGCUACACUGACCUGAACUUGUACCAGCUAAGGAUUAGACCCAGUUUCUUUCCUAUGAUAUUAGGUAUAUUUUGCCUUUAAAUAAAACAGAAAUGACAGGCAUGUGUUUCUGAAGUUACUGUUGAUCUAUUCUACUGAACAAGGAAAGCUCUAAACCUUGAAUUUUGUGGGUGGCUUUAAAAACCUUUUUCCCUUUUGUAUUGUUAUUUAGCACUUUUCUAAAUGGCUUAAUUUGUGUGUGCCCUGAGAGUAUUCAUCCAGAGAGAAACCUUCUUCAGAGUGAUAAGGGCAAGAGUUUAAAACAUAAACACAAUCAUGCAAUGCUGAAAGCCUUGCUCAGCUAAUUGAAUAGGAUGUAAUUCUUCUCAAUAUUAAAUACAUUUGCUGACUAACUUUUAUAUUUCUGUGUUCACUAUUAUACUAUAGAUGUUGACUUAAAUGAUCUUACAACAAAGGUGAAAAAAAAUACUGCAUAUUCCACAAGCACAUACACCUUCACAAGCAAUAUUAAGUGGACCUGGCUGUUUUUUCUCUUUAUUUCAUUCUUUUUUUUUUUCUUUUUUUCCUUUUUUCCCCCACACUAAUUGUGGACAGCUGGUUCCAGAAGGGAACCUGCAUAUGACUGUUAUUUGUCAAGGACUGUUGCUAGUUGCACACCUCUUAAAUGUCACUCCAUUGCAACUGAAGUCUAGGAAAGGUAUGUUCACUAGGAAAGAGUGUGCUCAGUUUUUCCUUGUUUGAAAGAUCAUGUUACCUGACAUGUUUUUUAAAGAUUUCACAAGUUUUUUGUUGUUAUUGGAGGUAUUUUUUAAAUGGUGUUUACUUGAAAUAUUACAAAAUGAAUAUGAAUAGAGGCCAAAUUUGCAAUCAAUGAGUUGCUUGGGUGUCUAAUUAAAAAGGGAAAGAGAAGGAGGGGGUGGACUUCUGCCUUAAGAACAGACAAACAUUUAUAGACUUGACAUAUCAAAGAGUAAAAGGUAGACAUUCACUCCUUUCAGAAAAUUGGGUUUUUAAUUGUGUUAAGAUGGAUGGAGAAGAAUCAGUAGAGUUUUUUUGUAAGUCACUGGGCAAAAUUUAGCAAUACCUUAUUUUUUAUUUGGUAUUUAUACAUAAUGAAUAAAUUUCAUACCUGCAUACCUUGAAACAAAAUACUUAAUUUUACUUCUAGGCACUUGGCAUCAGUAGUGAUUUCCUCCAGUAUUUUAUGUGAAAUAUGAUUUUGCUUAAAAUCCAGUUCUUAAUGAGCAACUGGUGGGGCCUGGUGUAUAUACUCAACACUUCCAAGUCUGCAAAAGUUCAGAGUAGUUCUGUACUGCUGAUAUAAGACUUGGUGUAACCAUCCAAAACACGAUACUUGUGAGAAGAGAUGCAGGUGGUGUAUUCUUGUUUUACUUUUACUUUCUCCUUCCCCUCCCCAGUAAUGUGGUAGGUGCUAGUAGAGUGUAACCAGUAUUUUUUAAUAAAUAAAAAAGGCUUUGCAUUACCAUUGCGGCUGGAUUAUUAGCACACUUUGUGUGUUUGCAUGAGACAUAUCUGCUUUAGCUUUUCAAUCAAUUUUUGUGGUUAUUGGCUGGCUUCAUUAAAUUGGAUGGAUUUGUUGACAGCAGAUAAGUGUCAUAGCAUCCUGCAGGGCCUAGAUACUACUUCUGAACUUUGUCAAAGAAUUGUAAUAUUUUUACGAGAGGAUAAAAUAAAGAACAUGUAAUACUCUAAAUUCUUAGGUAGUCUGUCAUUCAUCAUAGCCUCAUGAAGUAUGAGCUGACCAGCAGAUGGCAGUUUAAAGAAGCCCAUGAAAGAUUUUGAAGGUGGUGUUUUUAACAUAAGUUCCUUAUAUUCCCUAGAGGGAAUUCCUUCCACUUUCCGUAAUAUCCAGUGUCGAAGCAAGCUCAAUUGCUGGUUAUAGCUACAACUUCUUACAUUUCCAACACCUAAUAAUGCAAGACAGUAGCCUUAAGUUGUGCUAUUUUUGUGCAUAUUAAACGAUAUAUUUUUUUAUUAUCAAUUUGAGGCAGAUUUUUCUGUGUUUUUUAUGGGUAUUAGUAUGUAUACACAAUGGAGAGAACACAUACAAAUCUUAAAAGGUAAGCUAUUUGAUGAAGAAGGCAGUCAUGAGACACGUACAACUUGCGACCAAAACAGUACGUCAGCUCCAUUUUUCAACCCUGGAGUCUAGUUGUCCUACAGUAUACAACUGAAAUAUUCUAGGCGUGCUUACUAAAGGUAAAAAUAACCGCCUUUGAGUUUCUAAGAACAGGAAGGAAGAAAGGAAUUCACAUUAUUUUAAAGAAACUACUGCCCUAAAGAAAAAAAUAGUUGAAGAUAACCUUGCAGGUUGUUAAAAAAAAUAAAAAUCAGUGUGCUUCUGGCAUUUUAUUUUAGCUUCCUUCGAAGAUAAUUUUCUCUUCAAAACACGAUUUAAGAAUAAUUUAAUAUUUGAUGUCACUUUGAAUCCUCUGUGACUUAGCAGACAGUUGUUUUCUGUUUGUUUCUAUAUGCCUAUAGUUUUUCUUUUUCCUGUUUCAAAGCACCAAUAAGCUGACAGGGGUUCAUUUUUGUGGAACGCUGCAAGUAAUUGGACUUCUUUCAUGCUAAAGCCUCUAACAGUUGAAAUGACUUGCAUUGCCCACCAGGUCAUACAGUUUUGUUACGAUGGUUCCACUUUCACAUGGAAAAAAAGUUCUAGGCUUGAAUCUUGUUCUUUGGCAGCACAUUUUGUGUAGAAAAUUAAGUUUCUUAUGUAAUUAUUCUCAUCUUGUGUAUUACCUAGGCUUCAGAGUGCAGAGAAUCUGUUUACUGAAUGUUUAUCUAAUGUAGGUUUUUAUUCCACGUCCCAUACCAAAGUAUCAUGAGUAUCUGUAGGCAAUUUUAUAAUGUUUUAAAAUGUUCUCAGAGUUUUAAUUAACUUUCCAGGCAAAUUCAGAAAUGCAUAAUAUCCUUAUCUGAAACGUCUAACUACUGCUAAUAAUAAAAAUGAACCUUGUCCCAGGCCGUCUUUUUGCUCUUAUAGUACUGUGUACACUUGUGGCACCGCAUACUUAAAGAAUUUAUCUAGUCUAGCAGUAUGGGCCAAAAUACCAUUCUUCAGUUCAGGAAUUCUUAUACUGAAAUAAAGGAAAUGUUAACUGUAACUCAAUUGGCUCUGUCAGUUUUUCUGUCUCCGUGUGGGUGCACAAUAGAUUGUCUUUUGAAUACAGUCUGAUCUACCUGUAUGUUGCUUAUUGACUUAUUUUUAUAGAAGUUGUGCUUAGAUUAAACAAACAACAAAAAUCCCAGUCAUUAGCCUUUGUUAAGAAGAAGAAAAUGCAGUUGGUGUUUCUCUGUGGAAAGACUAAAGAGUUUGCUUAUCAGAACAUUCCUACUCCAAUCUUUCUAUAGGAAGCUCUUAGCCAGACCAGACCACUUCCUCCUGGAUGUCUGUGGUAUGGAAAUCACUGACCCUGAAGUCAUUUCAGGAAGUCUGAGCUUGUAGCAGUGUCCUUAGAUUCAAACGUAGUGGAACUUAAUAGCCAACAGCAUUCAGAAGUCAUGGAAACAUGCUUCUAAAAUGCUUAUAAAAAGAUAAAAUAUCUUUUUUAAUAAAAAUAUCUGCUAAAGAUAGUGGAUGACCUGAGAGAGGACGCCACUUAAGCCAGCUGAGUAGCUUAAGACAACUCUGAAGGAGUGAUCUCCGAUGGCCAAGGAGAUGAGCGCUCAGAGUCUCCCUAUGAAAGUGCUGAUGAAACUCAGACUGAAGUGUCUAUAUCAUCCAAAAAAUCUGAGCGAGGAGCGGGAACAAAA